rnacentral:rRNA from 1 species
GAGUUUGAUCUUGGCUCAGAUUGAACGCUGGCGGUAUGCUUAACACAUGCAAGUCGAACGGUAACAGGAGAGAGCUUGCUCUUUUGCUGACGAGUGGCGGACGGGUGAGUAAUGCGUAGGAAUCUGCCUAGUAGUGGGGGACAACGUGUGGAAACGCACGCUAAUACCGCAUACGCCCUACGGGGGAAAGCGGGGAUCUUCGGACCUCGCGCUAUUAGAUGAGCCUACGUUAGAUUAGCUAGUUGGUGGGGUAAAGGCCUACCAAGGCGACGAUCUAUAGCUGGUCUGAGAGGAUGAUCAGCCACACUGGGACUGAGACACGGCCCAGACUCCUACGGGAGGCAGCAGUGGGGAAUAUUGGACAAUGGGCGAAAGCCUGAUCCAGCAAUACCGCGUGUGUGAAGAAGGCCUGAGGGUUGUAAAGCACUUUCAAUUGUGAAGAAAUAUUAAGGUUAAUAACUUAAAUUUUGACGUUAACUUUAGUAAGAAGCACCGGC